AAAAAAUCAAACCACGUGGGAAGAGUCCUGCGUUGCCCUGGGUAACAUCCAGGCAUAGGACCUAAUCUUCACAACCAAUUGGUCCCCAUGACGCUUUAGUAACUGCAAAUUUAGCAUCCAAGGCCCCCCUACUAUAUAGUUCAGCUAUCAAAAUAAAUACGGAUUUGAAGUUUUGCAGUCAUACAUGUUGAAGGUUCAUAUUUUUUAAGAUACUCAAUUGAAAUUUAAAUUUUAAAAACGACCUACUGCGAAUCCACAAACAGGGUUAAUUUUUGAUAUUUUGCUUCACUUUAGAGAUAUAGGAAACAGUUAAUUGUAAAAGUUGUUCCAAAUAUUAUUCUAACUCUAACUUCAGAUACCAAAUAUCAUUACAAAAUUUGCACUUUUAGUUUUGUCAUUCAUUUGGUCGAUAUUCGAUAAACUAGUGUGUCAUGAACAGAUAAAUAUGUACAAUAUGGUCAAUUUAAUAGUGUAAUUCAUGCAAUUUAAAUUCUUCAGUAAAAUACAUAACAAUAACACCAAGGAAUAAUUUUUUAUUAAAAAACAAUAAUUGACAAUAUUAUACAGAGUUUUCUUUCCACGACACACUAGUUCAUCAAAAAUAUCAGCCAAAAUAACGAAAAAACUAAAGCGAAUUUUGUCAUAAAAUUUGGUAUGUGGGUUUAAAAUAAUAUUUGGAACAACUUUUGCCAAUAACUUUUUCCGAUAUCUCUAACGCGAAGCCAAAUAUCAAAAAUGUACCUUGUUUCGAAAUAUAGGGCUCGCUUCAUCUUAAAUGUAACACACUGUAUAAUAAAUAAAAUAUCUCAAUUGUG
rnacentral:lncRNA from 1 species